UACGUAGGGAGCAAGCGUUGUCCGGAAUCAUUGGGCGUAAAGCGCGCGUAGGUGGCUUCGUAAGUCCGUUGUGAAAGUCAAAGGCUCAACCUUUGAAAGCCGAUGGAUACUGUGGAGCUAGAGUACGGAAGAGGCGAGUGGAAUUCCUGGUGUAGCGGUGAAAUGCGCAGAUAUCAGGAGGAACACCGGUGGCGAAGGCGGGUCUCUGGGCCGUAACUGACGCUGAGGAGCGAAAGCGUGGGGAGCGAACAGG
rnacentral:rRNA from 1 species